AGCACCUGCCUAUAAUAAAUACAUCGUAGCCUACAAGAACACAACUGUUGCAACAGUAUUAGUAUUUUCAUCAGCAUCACAAAACUCCUUGUCUGAAAUGUGCCGAGAAAUUAAAAAUGUGUGUUAUUGAUAUAGCCUACACACACUAGUGGUCUGCAUUGCAACCCUGACAGAUUACACCCAGGUCGGCCUACAACAAACAUUUCCAUAAGAGUGGUGGAAAAAGACUUGUCCUUGGUUUAUUUUAGAAUUGGGUGUGACUACUAACUGGCAAUGGUCAGUCAUCCAUCCNNNNNNNNNNACUUCGUAAUUGGGGGAUCAUCAUAUUCAUGCGGGUUUAUUUUGCUUUGGAAUUCUUUAUCUGUUCUUGCUCUUGACAUGAUAUCCACGGCAGAUUUUUUUUUUUAACCAUGUCUUUUAUAAUUAAUUUGGCAAUCUGCUAAACUUUGGGGAGAGCAUACAAUAUUCUGUCUGUCGAUCACUUUGGAUACUGCGAGCUAUGUUGCCAAGAUGUUACAAGAGACCAAUGUUUCGUCCUUUUUUCUGGAAACAGUCUUAACGCUCUUAUUGCAAACAAAUGUAAAAGUACAAUGAUACAUUCAUACUGAAACCAAGGGAUUACACACAGAAGGACGGUGGAGAAUGGCUUCGAAGGAGAGGUUGAAUGAGCUGUGGAUUUUAUAUUACACCAAGAAAGAUGAGGGCUGCCUGCAGCAGUGGCUGGAGGCUUUUGUGGCUUCCUUUGAGAAGCUUGUUGAUGUGCAGUCACUGGAGCCUCGCAGGUGAGUUGACUGAUUGGCUCAAAUGUAUUUCCUUCGUCCCAAAUUGCAAUCUAUUCCCUGUACUACGUUUGACCAGAUCCUAGAUCUGUGACAAGGGGAAACCUCAGGGCACUGGUCACAGGGUGUGUGACCAGCUGGCUGAUACCUUGUCAUCUAAAAGGCUUCAAAGUGGAUCUGAGCAAUGAGACAGUUGUAAAAGUACUUCAUUUUAAAUAAACUGCAGACUUGGAAAGUAAAUUCACAUGGCUGGGGGCUAAAAUAAACACAGUCUCUUCCACACAGUCAGGAAACGCCUUCAGGGAAACACAGGCCCUGAUUACACAUCGCAGGACCACGUGCCAAUUAGCCACACCCACCAAUUAGCCACACCCACCAAUUAGCCACACCCACCAAUUAGGCAACAUAAUGAGCCAUGCUAAAACAUGUUAGGAGAUGAUAGAAAGUGAAGGUUGAGCUGAAAUAGAAAAUAAACAACAUUACUUCACAGUAAUCUAUACUUUCAAAAUGUCAAUAAAAUAUACAUUUUGUCCAUAGUGAAGGGCUCUCUUUCACAGAUGGGAUAACCUCAUUGACAUUUUGAAAGUAACAUUGAAAGUCACAUUGUUGUACGCACAUCACAUUAUAGGAGCGUUAUUAGUGUGCAGGCAGGUUCUUUCUUUAAUUCAUCAAUAUGUUACCAAAUCCCUGCUGAGGGAGGCAUACUGUAGGCUACAGGUGGUUGGUGUCAGACUGAGUUGGGUGAACUCUAACCUUAUUACCAAUCCAGAGGUGUAAUUUUGACAUGUUUAUAGUAAAGUAGUAAAACGGCACCAUCCUCUCUCUCAUCUCUUCUUCGUCCUCUCGCCUUCCUCUUCCCCACUCCGCUCCUCUCCACCACCUGUUCUCCCCGACCCAUUCUCCUCUUCCUGCUCCCCUUUCUCUUUCCUCUCCCCUUCCCGCUCCCCUCCCUCUUUUCUCUCCCCUCUCCCCUUUCUCUUCCCGCUCUCCU
rnacentral:lncRNA from 13 species